UACGUAGGUGGCAAGCGUUGUCCGGAAUUAUUGGGCGUAAAGCGCGCGCCGGCGGUCCUUUAAUUCUGAUGUGAAAGCCCACGGCUCAACCGUGGAGGGUCAUUGGAAACUGGGGGACUUGAGUACAGAAGAGGAAAGCGGAAUUCCACGUGUAGCGGUGAAAUGCGUAGAGAUGUGGAGGAACACCAGUGGCGAAGGCGGCUUUCUGGUCUGUAACUGACGCUGAGGCGCGAAAGCGUGGGGAGCAAACAGG
rnacentral:rRNA from 1 species